GAUGAACGCUGGCGGCGUGCCUAAUACAUGCAAGUCGAGCGAACGGACGAGAAGCUUGCUUUUCUGAUGUUAGCGGCGGACGGGUGAGUAACACGUGGAUAACCUACCUAUAAGACUGGGAUAACUUCGGGAAACCGGAGCUAAUACCGGAUAAUAUUUUGAACCGCAUGGCUCAAAAGUGAAAGACGGUCUUGCUGUCACUUAUAGAUGGAUCCGCGCUGCAUUAGCUAGUUGGUAAGGUAACGGCUUACCAAGGCAACGAUGCAUAGCCGACCUGAGAGGGUGAUCGGCCACACUGGAACUGAGACACGGUCCAGACUCCUACGGGAGGCAGCAGUAGGGAAUCUUCCGCAAUGGGCGAAAGCCUGACGGGGCAACGCCGCGUGAGUGAUGAAGGUCUUCGGAUCGUAAAACUCUGUUAUUAGGGAAGAACAUAUGUGUAAGUAACUGUGCACAUCUUGACGGUACCUAAUCAGAAAGCCACGGCUAACUACGUG
rnacentral:rRNA from 1 species